rnacentral:lncRNA from 1 species
GCUGGGAAGACUGCUCGUGGGAGUCAAUGCAGGUGUGAGCAUGAACAUCCAGCCCAUGUACCUGGGGGAGAGCGCCCCUAAGGAGCUCCGAGGAGCUGUGGCCAUGAGCUCAGCCAUCUUUACGGCUCUGGGGAUCGUGAUGGGACAGGUGGUCGGACUCAGCACUACGGCGGCUCCGGGGCUCCGGGGACUUGGCAGGGGAGCUGGAGGAGCUGGAGGAGGAGCGCGCUGCCUGCCAGGGCUGCCGUGCCCGGCGCCCAUGGGAGCUGUUCCAGCAUCGGGCCCUGAGGAGACAGGUGACAAGCCUCGUGGUUCUGGGCAGUGCCAUGGAGCUCUGCGGGAAUGACUCGGUGUACGCCUACGCCUCCUCCGUGUUCCGGAAGGCAGGAGUGCCGGAAGCGAAGAUCCAGUACGCGAUCAUCGGGACUGGGAGCUGCGAGCUGCUCACGGCGGUUGUUAGUGUGAGUCUGGAGGGUGCCCUUCCUCCACCAGCCCUGUGGGGAGGGACCCCCAGGUCCUCUGCAUUAAACCAGUUUACACUCC